GGGCGAUUAGCUCAGCUGGUUAGAGCGCAGCGUUGACAUCGCUGAGGUCAGUGGUUCGAGUCCACUAUCGCCCACCA
rnacentral:tRNA from 1 species